CUUGAUUCUGUUGUUGUAGUGAGAGAAAGCAGUGUGGCCAUGGUUUCUGAUGGAGGAGAAUUGAGAGUAUGUGAAGCUGACGGAGCUGUUGGCGACGUGACGUUUGUGAUGGAGAUCUCGAGAUCUCUUAGUCGGAAAACGGUGUAGUAAACGUAAUCACGAACGUGAUCAGGGACAAUGAAAAGUUACAGAGAAAACAAAGAGUUUCUAUAGAGAAAACAAAUAGAUUGAGAGAAGAUAAGAGAUGGUUCCGCAGAGAAAACAAAGAAAUUGAGAGGAGAGAUGUGAGAGAUUAUUCUGACGGAGAAAACAAAGAAAUUUAGAAGAGAGAUGUGA
rnacentral:lncRNA from 1 species